AGUGAACGCUGGCGGUAGGCCUAACACAUGCAAGUCGAACGGCAGCACAGUAAGAGCUUGCUCUUACGGGUGGCGAGUGGCGGACGGGUGAGGAAUACAUCGGAAUCUACUUUUUCGUGGGGGAUAACGUAGGGAAACUUACGCUAAUACCGCAUACGACCUACGGGUGAAAGCAGGGGAUCUUCGGACCUUGCGCGAUUGAAUGAGCCGAUGUCGGAUUAGCUAGUUGGCGGGGUAAAGGCCCACCAAGGCGACGAUCCAUAGCUGGUCUGAGAGGAUGAUCAGCCACACUGGAACUGAGACACGGUCCAGACUCCUACGGGAGGCAGCAGUGGGGAAUAUUGGACAAUGGGCGCAAGCCUGAUCCAGCCAUACCGCGUGUGUGAAGAAGGCCUUCGGGUUGUAAAGCCCUUUUGUUGGGAAAGAAAAGCAGCAGGUUAAUACCCCGCUGUUCUGACGGUACCCAAAGAAUAAGCACCGGCUAACUUCGUG
rnacentral:rRNA from 1 species